CGCACAUUGCGCCCCUUGGUAUUCCAGGGGGCAUGCCUGUUCGAGCGUCAUUUCAACCCUCAAGCUCUGCUUGGUAUUGGGCUCUUGUCAGUAACAUGGCAGGCCUUAAAAUCAGUGGCGGCGCCGUUGGGUCCUGAACGUAGUACUAACUUUCGUUACGGGCUCUCAGCGUGCUUCUGCCAUUAAACCCCCCAUUCUAUGGUUGACCUCGGAUCAGGUAGGGAUACCCGCUGAACUUAA
rnacentral:misc_RNA from 1 species